UGUAAAAAAAUACAUUUAUUUUUACUGUUAGAAACUGACAUGAAUGAAAAAAUAACCAAAUCAUAACAAGUGGUAUGCCAUGCGUACCUCAUGUUAGUGUAUAGUGACUAGUUUUUAAUAGUAAAAAUGGAUGAAAUUUUUAAUU
rfam:Gossypium hirsutum cultivar TM-1 chromosome 12, whole genome shotgun sequence